GACGAACGCUGGCGGCGUGCUUAACACAUGCAAGUCGAACGGAAAGGCCCUGCUUUUGUGGGGUGCUCGAGUGGCGAACGGGUGAGUAACACGUGAGUAACCUGCCCUUGACUUUGGGAUAACUUCAGGAAACUGGGGCUAAUACCGGAUAGGAGCUCCUGCUGCAUGGUGGGGGUUGGAAAGUUUCGGCGGUUGGGGAUGGACUCGCGGCUUAUCAGCUUGUUGGUGGGGUAGUGGCUUACCAAGGCUUUGACGGGUAGCCGGCCUGAGAGGGUGACCGGCCACAUGGGGACUGAGAUACGGCCCAGACUCGUACGGGAGGCAGCAGUGGGGAAUAUUGCACAAUGGGCGGAAGCCUGAGGCAGCAACGCCGCGUGCGGGAUGACGGCCUUCGGGGGGUAAACCGCAUUCGCCUGUGACGAAGCGGGAGUGACGGUAAUGGGUAAAGAAGCACCGGCUAACUACGUG
rnacentral:rRNA from 1 species